UCCGGUUUGUUUCCGGCAGUCUCUCUAGAUCGAUAACUAGAAAUAAGGGUUGCGCUCGUUGAGGGACUUAACCCAACAUCUCACGACACGAGCUGACGACAGCCAUGCAACAUCUGUGUAUCCGUCCGAAGAGGCUGUGCUUUCACACAGUUGCGAAUACAUGUCAAGCCCAGGUAAGGUUCUUCGCGUUGCAUCGAAUUAAACCACACGCUCCGCUGCUUGUGCGGGGACCCGUCAAUUCCUUUGAGUUUUAGUCUUGCGACCGUACUCCCCAGGCGGGCCACUUAAUGCGUUAGCUUCGGCACGGAAGGGGUCAACACCCCCCACACCUAGUGGCCAUCGUUUACUGCUAGGACUAC
rnacentral:misc_RNA from 1 species